rnacentral:rRNA from 1 species
UACGUAGGGGGCAAGCGUUGUCCGGAAUCAUUGGGCGUAAAGAGCGUGUAGGCGGCCCGAUAAGUCCGCUGUGAAAGUCCAGGGCUCAACCCUGGGAUGCCGGUGGAUACUGCCGGGCUAGAGUCCGGAAGAGGCGAGUGGAAUUCCGUGGUGUAGCGGUGGAAUGCGCAGAUAUCAGGAGGAACACCAAUGGCGAAGGCAGCUCGCUGGGACGGUACUGACGCUGAGGCGCGAAAGCGUGGGGGGAGCGAACAGG